ACGCCCUAAACGAUGUCUACUAGUUGUUGGUGGAGUAAAAUCCCAUGAGUAACGCAGCUAACGCGUGAAGUAGACCGCCUGGGGAGUACGAUCGCAAGAUUAAAACUCAAAUGAAUUGACGGGGGCCCGCACAAGCGGUGGAUUAUGUGGAUUAAUUCGAUGCAACGCGAAAAACCUUACCUGGCCUUGACAUGUAGCGAACUUUCCAGAGAUGGAUUGGUGCUCGAAAGAGAACGCUAACACAGGUGCUGCAUGGCUGUCGUCAGCUCGUGUCGUGAGAUGUUGGGUUAAGUCCCGCAACGAGCGCAACCCUUGCCAAUAAUUGCCAUCAUUUAGUUGGGCACUUUAUUGGGACUGCCGGUGACAAACCGGAGGAAGGUGGGGAUGACGUCAAGUCCUCAUGGCCCUUAUGGCCAGGGCUUCACACGUAAUACAAUGGUCGGUACAGAGGGUCGCCAAACCGCAAGGUGGAGCCAAUCCCAGAAAGCCGAUCGUAGUCCGGAUUGAGGUCUGCAACUCGACCUCAUGAAGUCGGAAUCGCUAGUAAUCGCGGAUCAGCAUGUCGCGGUGAAUACGUUCCCGGGCCUUGUACACACCGCCCGUCACACCAUGGGAGUGGGUUUUACCAGAAGUAGGUAGUCUAACCUUCGGGGGGACGCUUACCACGGUAGUAUUCAUGACUGGGGUG
rnacentral:rRNA from 1 species